AUUGAACGCUGGCGGCAGGCCUCACACAUGCAAGUCGAGCGGAGCGGCGGACGGGUGAGUAAUGCCUAGGAAUCGGCCUGGUAGUGGGGGAUAACGUACGGAAACGGGCGCUAAUACCGCAUACUAUCAGAUGAGCCGAGGUCGGAUUAGCUAGUUGGUGGGGUAAAGGCCUACCAGGGCAACGAUCCGGAACUGGUCUGAGAGUAUGAUCAGUCACACGGGAACUGAGACACGGUCCAUACGCCUACGGAAGGCAUCAGUGGGGAAUAUUGGACAAUGGGCGAAAUCUUGAUGAAGCCAGGCCGCGUGGAGGAGGAAGGCCUUCGGGUUGUAAAGUACUUUCAGCGGGGAGGCGUUACCCGCAGAGGAAGCACCGGCUAACGCCGUGCCAGCAGCCGCGGUAAUAC
rnacentral:rRNA from 1 species